CGCCGCGCCGCCCCCGCCGCCCGGCUCCGCCCCGCACCAUAGAGGUGGCUCCAGUGAAAGUGAAGCCUUGCUGAAGGACCACACAGGCACCAGGAUGCAGCACAGACGGCAGGAAGCCGACUCGUGGGAUUUUCCAUGUGAAGAAAUAGCUUGAGAGGGAUGGGUUCACCAUCUUCUACAGCUGUCCCUUCUGUACCACAGAAAGGACAAAAAUGAAAGGCAGGUUGUCAGUUAUUAAGAGUGCAAAAGGAAAAGCUGUGAGACAUCAGAAGAUGCAAUGACUCCUACUUCUGCCUUGCCCUUACCUGCAGAACUAUCCCCUAUAUAAUCAAAAUACACAACCACUUAAAGACACGAGUGACAGUGUUCAGACAGCACUAUUCACCUCUCCUGGCAAGUUCACAUCACACCAUUCCUAUAUGCUGCUCCCAGAGUUUAAAACAAGCUUGCAUGUUUUCAUUUGUUUGCCAAAUUACCUUCAAGUACUCCAUCGGAAAACAGACCAUCCACAGUUCGGCAAAUAUUUUUACCAGCCACACAUGAGCAGCAAAAGGACUCUAAAUUCCCCCUUAGAAAUACAUUUAGCCAGCAGUAGCUUGUUCAGAACUGAUUUUUCUAUCUUGAUGUAGGAAAUUUGUUAAGAAGCAGACCAGUUUUCUUUAUUGUUUAGACUGGAAAACACAAAGAUCUCAAUGCAACUUCAUUUAAUGCAGAAACACUUUCCUAUCCUGGACGACAGGAAUUAUUUAUAAUAUUAUUUAUAUAAGAUGAGAGGAAUGUCAGCCCAGGGAAACAUUUACUAAUGACCUUACAGUUACUUUUCAGAGCUAUUCAUCAACAGCUGCCCUAUCUAAUCACAGUGGUAAUGGAACUGUGAUUUACCGCUCACUUCCUAGAAUACAUCCCACAGUCUUAGGAAUUUCGAGGUAAAGAAACCAAGAAAUCAUUACCAAGCUGACAGCCUAUGCAGCAGCCAGCUGUUACUGGAGCAUACCCAAGUCAAAUUUAUUUGCACAGAUGAGUCAGUGCUGAAUACCACAUUUCACACAGUACUCAUGACUAAGUUCAUGAUGUAGCAACCACUGUCCUUCAGCAGCUACAAAACUGAUGCUGAAACCAGUGGUGUUUGUGGCAUGUAUAGCUGCUACUGGAGGUAUGACUCAAGUCAUUUUCUCACCAUAUGUCCCCAGGAAAGAAUCAAUUUCAUUUUCAAGAACACUCACCACUUACAAAAAGAACAAGUUCAAUUAUAUAAAAAAAGACCCAAACCACAUAACAUCCUAACAUCUUGACUGUACAUCGCCACAAGUUUAGUUCCUCAAGCCAGAAGAAGAAUUACACGAGUCAAAAAUACAUUUCAAACUCUGCCUCUAACAUUAGAUUCAGAUAAAAAAAGUUGGCUUCAGGGUAAAAAAUUUCUAGACAUGUCUACAGAAGAAUACAGCCAACUAACACAUGCAGUUUUCUGACAUUAAAAACAUACCAGAAACAAAAGAGCAAAAGAUUCUAGAUUAGAAAAACCCUGGUAAAUAUAAAUUUGAGUGGAUUCUGCAAUACACAAAAUUCCCAGAGAACAGUGUGUGAGCAUAAGGCAGUCAAAGCAGGUAUAAAAAUAAGUCCUCACCUCCCUACAUAUAACAUGGGG